AUUGAACGCUGGCGGCAGGCCUAACACAUGCAAGUCGGGCGAGUGGCGGACGGGUGAGUAAUUCAUGGGAAUCUAGCUUAUGGAGGGGGAUAACUAUGGGAAACUGUAGCUAAUACCGCGUACCAUAGGAUGAGCCCACGUGGGAUUAGCUAUGUGGUGAGGUAAAGGCUCACCAAGCCGACGAUCUCUAGCUGAUCUGAGAGGAUGAACAGCCACACUGUGACUGAGACACGGCCCAGACUCCUACGGGAGGCAGCAGUGGGGAAGAUUGCGCAAUGGGGGCAACCCUGAUGCAGCCAUGCCGCGUGUAUGAAGAAGUCCUUAGGGUUGUAAAGUACUUUCAGCGGGGAGGCGUUACCCAAAGAAGAAGCACCGGCUAACUCCGUGCCAGCAGCCGCGGUAAUAC
rnacentral:rRNA from 1 species